UACGUAGGGUGCGAGCGUUGUCCGGAAUUAUUGGGCGUAAAGAGCUCGUAGGCGGUUUGUCGCGUCUGCCGUGAAAGUCCGGGGCUCAACUCCGGAUCUGCGGUGGGUACGGGCAGACUAGAGUGAUGUAGGGGAGACUGGAAUUCCUGGUGUAGCGGUGAAAUGCGCAGAUAUCAGGAGGAACACCGAUGGCGAAGGCAGGUCUCUGGGCAUCAACUGACGCUGAGGAGCGAAAGCAUGGGGAGCGAACAGG
rnacentral:rRNA from 1 species